AUUGAACGCUGGCGGCAGGCCUAACACAUGCAAGUCGGACGGUAGCACAGAGAGCUUGCUCUUGGGUGACGAGUGGCGGACGGGUGAGUAAUGUCUGGGGAUCUGCCCGAUAGAGGGGGAGAACCACUGGAAACGGUGGCUAAUACCGCAUAACGUCGCAAGACCACAGAGGGGGACCUUCGGGCCUCUCACUAUCGGAUGAACCCAGAUGGGAUUAGAUAGUAGGCGGGGUAAUGGCCCACCUAGGCGACGAUCCCUAGCUGGUCUGAGAGGAUGACCAGCCACACUGGAACUGAGACACGGUCCAGACUCCUACGGGAGGCAGCAGUGGGGAAUAUUGCACAAUGGGCGCAAGCCUGAUGCAGCCAUGCCACGUGUAUGAAGAAGGCCUUCGGGUUGUAAAGUACUUUCAGCGGGGAGGAAGGCGGUGAGGUUAAUAACCUCGCCGAUUGACGUUACCCGCAGAAGAAGCACCGGCUAACUUCGUGUCAGCCGCCGCCGUAA
rnacentral:rRNA from 1 species